rnacentral:lncRNA from 1 species
AAGUAUUUUGGGGUAGAAAAAGGGGUGUUACAUAGUGAGUGAAAAUGCUUGGGCCAGGGGCCCUAAGCCUACUAAACAUACAACAGGAUGAAAGAUGAACAAAAAUCAUUGAGCCUCAUUCAAAUCUCACACUACGUUCAACCAACAAACUUCCCCUCCCUCUGCCGCGCCGGAAAUCGCAUUCGGUGGCGGCGAAGACUCAAUCGCCAUAAAACCU